UAUUUUGCGUUGAUAAGGAGUACUACUAUUAGUACGUAUCUUCAGAGAGCUGUUGGUUGCUGCAAAACAGUGAUACACUUUUAGGAACUUGCCUUUGAGCUUACUUGUUAGAAGCAAGUACGGAAUCCCCGUUAUAGAUUUGAGUGAGAAAUUUAAAAAUAUUUUUAAAAGUAUUUAUUUAUAAAUUUCUAAUAAGAGUGGUACCGCGAAAUAUAGCUUUUCGUCUCUUAA
rnacentral:ncRNA from 1 species